rnacentral:rRNA from 1 species
GAUGAACGCUGGCGGCGUGCCUAAUACAUGCAAGUCGAGCGAAUGGAUUAAGAGCUUGCUCUUAUGAAGUUAGCGGCGGACGGGUGAGUAACACGUGGGUAACCUGCCCAUAAGACUGGGAUAACUCCGGGAAACCGGGGCUAAUACCGGAUAACAUUUUGAACCGCAUGGUUCGAAAUUGAAAGGCGGCUUCGGCUGUCACUUAUGGAUGGACCCGCGUCGCAUUAGCUAGUUGGUGAGGUAACGGCUCACCAAGGCAACGAUGCGUAGCCGACCUGAGAGGGUGAUCGGCAACACUGGGACUGAGACACGGCCCAGACUCCUACGGGAGGCAGCAGUAGGGAAUCUUCCGCGAUGGGCGAGAGUCUGACGGAGCAACGCAGCGUGAGUGACGAAGGCUUUCGGGUCGUAAAACUCUGUUGUUAGGGAAGAACAAGUGCUAGUUGAAUAAGCUGACACCUUGACGGUACCUAAUCAGAAAGCCACGGCUAACUACGUGCCAGCCGCCGCCGUAA